AAGUCGUAACAAGGUCUCCGUAGGUGAACCUGCGGAGGGAUCAUUACACAAAUAUGAAGGCGGGCUGGAACCUCUCGGGGUUACAGCCUUGCUGAAUUAUUCACCCUUGUCUUUUGCGUACUUCUUGUUUCCUUGGUGGGUUCGCCCACCACUAGGACAAACAUAAACCUUUUGUAAUUGCAAUCAGCGUCAGUAACAAAUUAAUAAUUACAACUUUCAACAACGGAUCUCUUGGUUCUGGCAUCGAUGAAGAACGCAGCGAAAUGCGAUAAGUAGUGCGAAUUGCAGAAUUCAGUGAAUCAUCGAAUCUUUGAACGCACAUUGCGCCCUUUGGUAUUCCAAAGGGCAUGCCUGUUCGAGCGUCAUUUGUACCCUCAAGCUUUGCUUGGUGUUGGGCGUCUUGUCUCUAGCUUUGCUGGAGACUCGCCUUAAAGUAAUUGGCAGCCGGCCUACUGGUUUCGGAGCGCAGCACAAGUCGCACUCUCUAUCAGCAAAGGCCUAGCAUCCAUUAAGCCUUUUUUUCAACUUUUGACCUCGGAUCAGGUAGGGAUACCCGCUGAACUUAAGC
rnacentral:rRNA from 1 species